CCUACGGGAGGCAGCAGUAGGGAAUAUUGCUCAAUGGGGGAAACCCUGAAGCAGCAACGCCGCGUGGAGGAUGAAGGUUUUCGGAUUGUAAACUCCUUUUGUUAGAGAAGAUAAUGACGGUAUCUAACGAAUAAGCACCGGCUAACUCCGUGCCAGCAGCCGCGGUAAUACGGAGGGUGCAAGCGUUACUCGGAAUCACUGGGCGUAAAGGGCGCGUAGGCGGGAUAGCAAGUCAGAUGUGAAAUCCUAUGGCUUAACCAUAGAACUGCAUUUGAAACUGUUAAUCUAGAGUAUGAGAGAGGUAGGUGGAAUUCUUGGUGUAGGGGUAAAAUCCGUAGAGAUAAAGAAGAAUACUCAUUGCGAAGGCGACCUGCUAGAACAUAACUGACGCUGAUGCGCGAAAGCGUGGGGAGCAAACAGGAUUAGAUACCCCUGUAGUC
rnacentral:rRNA from 1 species